rnacentral:rRNA from 1 species
UACAGGGGGUGCAAACGUUGCUCGGAAUCAUUGGGCGUAAAGCGCACGUAGGCGGUUUGUUAUGUCGGAUGUGAAAGCCCUUGGCUCAACUGAGGAAGUGCAUCCGAAACUGGCAAGCUAGAGUACUAAAGAGGGUCGCGGAAUUCCCGGUGUAGAGGUGAAAUUCGUAGAUAUCGGGAGGAACACCAGUGGCGAAGGCGGCGAUCUGGGCUGAUACUGACGCUGAGGUGCGAAAGCGUGGGGAGCAAACAGG